rnacentral:rRNA from 1 species
CACGUAGGGCGCAAGCGUUGUCCGGAAUUAUUGGGCGUAAAGAGCUCGUAGGUGGUUUGUUACGUCUGCUGUGAAAACCUAGGGCUUAACCCUGGGCUUGCAGUGGAUACGGGCAGACUAGAGGUAGGUAGGGGAGAAUGGAAUUCCUGGUGUAGCGGUGAAAUGCGCAGAUAUCAGGAGGAACACCGGUGGCGAAGGCGGUUCUCUGGGACGGUACUGACGCUGAGACGCGAAAGCGUGGGGAGCGAACAGG